AUUGAACGCUGGUGGCAUGCCUUACACAUGCAAGUCGAACGGUAACAGGUUAAGCUGACGAGUGGCGAACGGGUGAGUAAUAUAUCGGAACGUGCCCAGUCGUGGGGGAUAACUGCUCGAAAGAGCAGCUAAUACCGCAUACGACCUGAGGGUGAAAGCGGGGGAUCGCAAGACCUCGCGCGAUUGGAGCGGCCGAUAUC
rnacentral:rRNA from 1 species